GUGAGAUGAGAUUAACGUUUGGAUAUAUGAUUUUACGUUGAUUUCAUCUCAUGA
rfam:Solanum tuberosum cultivar DM 1-3 516 R44 scf00157_59, whole genome shotgun sequence.